rnacentral:rRNA from 1 species
CAGUCGCCGCGGUAAUACGUAGGUGGCAAGCGUUGUCCGGAAUUAUUGGGCGUAAAGGGCUCGCAGGCAGUUUCUUAGGUCUGAUGUGAAAGCCCCCGGCUCAACCGGGGAGGGUCAUUGGAAACUGGGAAACUUGAGUGCAGAAGAGGAGAGUGGAAUUCCACGUGUAGCGGUGAAAUGCGUAGAGAUGUGGAGGAACACCAGUGGCGAAGGCGACUCUCUGGUCUGUAACUGACGCUGAGGAGCGAAAGCGUGGGGAGCGAACAGGAUUAGAUACCCCGGUAGUCCCUGUCUCUUAUAA